GAUGAACGCUGACAGAAUGCUUAACACAUGCAAGUCUUUGGCGAAGCUGUGCUUGCACAGCCUAGCCAAGGCGGACGGGUGAGUAACGCGUAAGGAACUUGCCCUGCAGUCAGGGAUAACAGACGGAAACGACUGAUAAGACCUGGUAAAGUCAGGCGGACUCAUGUCCAGCCUGAUGAAAAGAGAUGCUGCAGGAGAGCCUUGCGUCCUAUUAGCUUGUUGGUGGGGUAACGGCCCACCAAGGCGAUGAUAGGUAGCCGGCCUGAGAGGGUGGACGGCCACAAGGGGACUGAGAUACGGCCCUUACUCCUACGGGAGGCAGCAGUGGGGAAUAUUGGACAAUGGGGGCAACCCUGAUCCAGCAAUUCUGUGUGCACGAUGAAGGUUUUCGGAUUGUAAAGUGCUUUCAGCAGGGAAGAAAAAAAUGACGGUACCUGCAGAAGAAGCGACGGCUAAAUACGCG
rnacentral:rRNA from 1 species